AGAACGAACGCUGGCGGCAUGCCUAAUACAUGCAAGUCGAACGAGAUCUUCGGAUCUAGUGGCGCACGGGUGCGUAACGCGUGGGAAUCUACCCUUGGGUUCGGAAUAACAGUUGGAAACGACUGCUAAUACCGGAUGAUGACGAAAGUCCAAAGAUUUAUCGCCCAGGGAUGAGCCCGCGUAGGAUUAGCUAGUUGGUGAGGUAAAGGCUCACCAAGGCUACGAUCCUUAGCUGGUCUGAGAGGAUGAUCAGCCACACUGGGACUGAGACACGGCCCAGACUCCUACGGGAGGCAGCAGUAGGGAAUAUUGGACAAUGGGGGCAACCCUGAUCCAGCAAUGCCGCGUGAGUGAUGAAGGCCUUAGGUGUAAAGCUUCUUUACCCGAGAUGAUAAUGACAGUAUCGGGAAGAAGUAAGCUACCGGCUUAAACUCCGUGCCAGCAGCCGC
rnacentral:rRNA from 1 species